UACGGGGGGGGCAAGCGUUGUUCGGAAUUACUGGGCGUAAAGGGCUCGUAGGCGGCCAACUAAGUCGGACGUGAAAUCCCCGGGCUCAACCUGGGAAUGGCAUUUGUGACUGUAGAGCUAGAGUACGGUAGAGGGGGAUGGAAUUCCGCGUGUAGCAGUGAAAUGCGCAGAUAUCAGGAGGAACACCGGUGGCGAAGGCGGGUCUCUGGGCCGAUACUGACGCUGAGGAGCGAAAGCGUGGGGAGCGAACAGG
rnacentral:rRNA from 1 species